rnacentral:rRNA from 1 species
AGGGAGCCUGAGAAACGGCUACCACGUCAAAGGAAG